CUCUGGAGCACUCUGAGUGGGAAGGAGUGGAGAGUGUCAGCUUACCCCAGCAAGCAGGCACAGCCUUGCCACAGGCAGCAGGCUCCUGGGUGCUGGCCCAGCCUCCUCUGCCACAGACUAGUUGCUGGGCUCACAGAAACAUGGCACUCCGAAGGCUUGGCCUACGGAGUCCCUGUUCUCCACCAUGCCUCUGCUGGCUAGCAGACAGGGCUUUCAGUCCAUAGGCCUGUGCUCCAUCGAUUUGUGCCCAUGGUGAGGUAGACCAUCAUAACAAGAAGUACUUAUCCCAGAGGCUCCUGACUUCCUGGUGGACAAUAAGUAGAAAGAGAACCUUCAACAAAAACCUUCCAGUGUCCUCCAUCCUCCUCCAGUGACCUUAGGUAAGCCAAACAAAUCAAGUCAAGGGAAGUGAGCAGCAGAAGAGGAAACAGCCCAUUUUCCAAGUGGAGAAUCCUAGCUACAAGGAAACUGGAGCCAGCCGGAAGAGGACCCUUCCUGCUAAGUGGAGGUUAAUUGUGUGUUUAAAGGGUUAAAUGUAUUACCAGUGGGCAAACCACCUUCUGAAGAAAUA